rnacentral:rRNA from 1 species
CAGCAGCCGCGGUAAUACGAAGGGUGCAAGCGUUAAUCGGAAUUACUGGGCGUAAAGCGUGCGUAGGCGGUGAGUUAAGUCUGCUGUGAAAUCCCCGGGCUCAACCUGGGAAUGGCAGUGGAUACUGGCUCGCUAGAGUGUGUCAGAGGAUGGUGGAAUUCCCGGUGUAGCGGUGAAAUGCGUAGAGAUCGGGAGGAACAUCAGUGGCGAAGGCGGCCAUCUGGGACAACACUGACGCUGAGGCACGAAAGCGUGGGGAGCAAACAGGAUUAGAUACCCGCGUAGUCCCUGUCUCUUAUAA